rnacentral:rRNA from 1 species
UGACGAGUGGCGGACGGGUGAGUAAUGCUUGGGAACUUGCCUUUGCGAGGGGGAUAACAGUUGGAAACGACUGCUAAUACCGCAUAAUGUCUUCGGACCAAACGGGGCUUCGGCUCCGGCGCAAAGAGAGGCCCAAGUGAGAUUAGCUAGUUGGUAAGGUAACGGCUUACCAAGGCGACGAUCUCUAGCUGUUCUGAGAGGAAGAUCAGCCACACUGGGACUGAGACACGGCCCAGACUCCUACGGGAGGCAGCAGUGGGGAAUAUUGCACAAUGGGGGAAACCCUGAUGCAGCGAUGCCGCGUGUGUGAAGAAGGCCUUCGGGUUGUAAAGCACUUUCAGUUGUGAGGAAAAGUUAGUAGUUAAUACCUGCUAGCCGUGACGUUAACAACAUAAGAAGCACCGGCUAACUCCGUGCCAGCAGCCGCGGUAAUACGGAGGGUGCGAGGGUUAAUCGGAAUUACUGGGCGUAAAGCGCAGGCACGCGGUUUGUUAAGCUAGAUGUGAAAGCCCCGGGCUCAACCUGGGAUGGUCAUUUACAACUGGCAGACUACAGUCUUGGAGAGGGGAGUG